AGAAUUGUUUUUAAGGGCCUAAGUAAUAAUAGUUAUGUUCUAGAAAUUUGAAAAAUUUGGCGGUGAUUUAGUCUAGCCAGAGGAACCUGUUUUUGAAUCGAUAAACCACGAAUAAUCUUACUCAAAUUUGUACAGUAUGUAUACCAUCAUUAUUAGGUAAUUUUUAUAGAAUUAAUUACUGGGAUUAAUAAUAAUGUUAAAUAUAUUAGAUCAAGGUGCAGCUUAUGUUUGAGUUAAAAUGGGUUACAAUAAAAUUUAUUUAUUACGGAUAUGUAAUUUAAAUAUUACUUGGAAGGAGGAUUUGGUUGUAAAAUAAGUUCAGUAUGCUUAUUAUAUAUAAGCCCUAAAUCAUGUACACACCGCCCGUCCCCCACUAAAAA
rnacentral:rRNA from 1 species